rnacentral:misc_RNA from 1 species
CCUUUCAAUGCAGAAGAGUUGAGGUGGUUGAGUAUCUCGCCCCCUCAAUUCUCGCUGUAUUUUACCCUUGUUUUUCUCAUACUAUUAUUUCCUCGGCAGGCCCAGCCUGCCGGGUGAAACAACUUCAAAACCUGUUUAAUUUUCAAUCAGCGUCUGAACAAAUUAAUAAUUA